rnacentral:rRNA from 1 species
AUCUACAGCCAUGCCACCCUGAACACGCCCAAUCCCAUCUGAUCUCGGAAACUAAGCAGGGUCGGACCUGAUUAGUACUUGGAUGGGAGACCACAGGAAGACCAGAUGCUGUAGGUG